CCCGCCCCUACAGGUGUUGCAGGUGUAGCUGCUGUGUCACACGUGUGUCAGCAGGUGUCAGAGAUAAGAAAGGCCAUGUCUAUACUCAGUGUUCUGACUUUUGAACAUCUGAAUAAUCAGUAGCCUAAGAUU